AUCGCUUCUCGGCCUUUUGGCUAAGAUCAAGUGUAGUAUCUCUCCUCUCUCUCUACUCCUCUCCACCUCCAUAACUGCAGUUCUAAAGAUCUCUU
rnacentral:snRNA from 1 species